rnacentral:rRNA from 1 species
UACGUAGGGUGCAAGCGUUGUCCGGAAUUAUUGGGCGUAAAGAGCGUGUAGGCGGUCCGGUAAGUCAGCUGUGAAAGUCCAGGGCUCAACCCUUGAAUGCCGGUUGAUACUGUCGGGCUAGAGUCCGGAAGAGGCGAGUGGAAUUCCCGGUGUAGCGGUGAAAUGCGCAGAUAUCGGGAGGAACACCAAUGGCGAAGGCAGCUCGCUGGGACGGUACUGACGCUGAGACGCGAAAGCGUGGGGAGCAAACAGG